rnacentral:lncRNA from 1 species
ACAAGAGGGGUUCAAAUCUCAGCAAAGCCAUUUUUUUUUAACCACCUCCAAUUCCAAGACCCUGGAGGUCCCCAAGACACACCUCUCUCACCUUUUUCUUCAAGUUGUUCUCCAAUCCAACUGACAAGCUGCGACUCAGCUCUUGGGCCAAGCCAUCUAACAUCUCAUGAGGAGGUGGGGAGGAGGAGGGCAGAUACAGCUGGGCUCGGGCUGUGGCCUCUGCCUGGCGACUGAGGUGCAAAGAAGCAUAGAGCUGGGAGGUCACCUCAGAGGACAUUUGGUUCAGCCCAGGGGCUUCUGAUGAAUCACUCAGGAGAUCCUCAGCCCGGAGGGGUGAACUGGGAACCGUAGCUGAUGUCGCCAUGGGUACAAGGAAGAGACAACUGCAGACAGUACAGCUGGGAACUUCUGGUCCUGCUGUAGGACAGGCCAAGGGGCGAAGUACACGGAAGAAGAUUUGGGAGAAAGGAGGAAGGCUCCAAGCCCAGGAGCCUUGGUGACUAACGGUAUGGAGGCUUUCUGGUUAGAGGAAAGGUUUCUGGCGGUUUCAGAGGCCAUGGGAGAGGGCAAAAGCAUUUCCUUCCACAGCUCCUGGGAACGGUGGAAAAGGAGGGUGCAGCAAGGAGUGGGUGGGGACAGAAGACGGAGGAGCGACAGCACCCCUGCAGUUCCCUGGAGGGCUGAAAGCUGUAGAUCAACUUCUGGCACCGGCCAUCACGGGUCAACUGAACUCAACGUGCAAACUGAAAUGGGCGCAAACCCAAUAAGGGCCUAACUUCCCUCCAGCCGCCUUAUGUGCCCCUCACCUGGUCCCGGUCUCAGAGAGGCAGGAACCUCAGGUUCCCCACCGGCUCACACCCCUCCGCCAUGCGCCUGUUCCACCCACGGUCAACCCUCUUGUAUAUCCCCUCCGACCCCUUCUGGCAAGAAAACCAUAGUAAGUUUCCCUAGCCUCCCUCCCUCCUCGCUCUCCCGAGAGAAACUUCGUGAACACUCGGUCACCUCCUCAGACGUCUCUAAAAGGUACGCCGCCCUCAAGCCUAGCCUGCGAUCCUCUACCCCAACCACCCCUCGCGACUCCUCGCCACACCGCCGGACCUCAGCCCCCUCAGUUUGCCACGGUGUCGACAAGGGGCUAUCCCCCUCCCCUGAGCCCCGGUCCGGGAGACCAAGGACGCCUCCACACCCACCCUCACCGCCCUCCCUGCGCUCAAAACCGUUGGCAGCCUCCCGCCCACCGUCCGCAGCCCCGCCUCGCACGGCUUGAUGACGUCACCAGCCCAGAGCUCUUCCUCGCAGCGGCUCGGACGGCUUCUGGAGCCCGGGAGCCCAAGA